GAUGAACGCUGGCGGCGUGCCUAAUACAUGCAAGUCGAGCGAACGGACGAGAAGCUUGCUUCUCUGAUGUUAGCGGCGGACGGGUGAGUAACACGUGGAUAACCUACCUAUAAGACUGGGAUAACUUCGGGAAACCGGAGCUAAUACCGGAUGAUAUUUUGAACCGCAUGGUUCAAAAGUGAAAGACGGUCUUGCUGUCACUUAUAGAUGGAUCCGCGCUGCAUUAGCUAGUUGGUAAGGUAACGGCUUACCAAGGCAACGAUGCAUAGCCGACCUGAGAGGGUGAUCGGCCACACUGGAACUGAGACACGGUCCAGACUCCUACGGGAGUCAGCAGUAGGGAAUCUUCCGCAAUGGGCGAAAGCCUGACGGAGCAACGCCGCGUGAGUGAUGAAGGUCUUCGGAUCGUAAAACUCUGUUAUUAGGGAAGAACAUAUGUGUAAGUAACUGUGCACAUCUUGACGGUACCUAAUCAGAAAGCCACGGCUAACUACGUG
rnacentral:rRNA from 1 species